CGACCUUACACUCCCUCCUCCUUUUAGACUUGUCACGCAAGUAUACUUGCCAGGUGUACCAAGCCUAAGCGUACGGAGCUUAAUGGAUUCCGUCAUAGAGACUCCUGUAACCACCGCCUAGAUUACGAAAUAGGUCACCCCAGCCCACCUCUUUUGUCGACUUCUGUUAGCAUCCUGGUGUCGUUUUUCUCUGGCUUCCUUGUUCCAGUGUUACGUUUGAGAGGGCAAGGGAAGGUUCCUCUGCUUGAGCAGCUGCAGGGUACACAGGUGUCCAGAGCCUAGCGGUGCUGAGAGUAGGAGGCAGCAAGCUUCGCUGACCUAUAGAUCAUCUCCAGAUGACUGAGAGCCUGUCGCCAUUCCUACGAUGGGAGAGAAGGUGUCCUGAGAAG
ensembl:lncRNA